AAAGAAGAAUGGAGAGAAUAACUUAAGAAAUAACAAUAGAGAGUGGGGAGAGUGAACACCUCUCUGCAAAUAAAGGUGCCUCAUUUAUAUAAUAGAGGUGAUGUGCUAUAAGCUGUAAUCAUGAAACUCUUGAGCUUGCCCAAUUUUACACAGAAAUCUAAGAUCAGAGUCAUCAGAUAUCUAUUGUUAUAAGCCUAUUCAGUUUACCACUUACAAUUGUUCUUUUGAGCUAAUUGAGAUUCCAUGUGUAAUAGGCUAUUUACAAAGCAAGAGAGCCGAAAAAAGCUCCCAUGACAGGCUAUUACAGCUAGAUCCUAGAAGAUUGCAAAAAAAAAAAAUAGUAACAAAUUUGACGCCAGAUUAAGAACAAUAAGUCAACUCCUCUUUGCAUUGCCACAUACUCCAUUGCAGAAAACACAAGUUCUUUGUUAAGACACAAACAAAACAUCUCGUAAUCCUCCAAAAGGUACAGCUGUGGAAGUUAGCUGGAAGCCAUCUUCAAUCAAAUUGGAUUUUACUCUAAGCACCUGUAAUGUAAAACAUAAGAUCAGUAAGCGGAUCCUGCGUGCAUACAAAAAUAUACCAUAAUGUUCUCUCUGCAGGCCAUUGAAGAACAAUACUCUAGCAUAUGAUCCAUAUUUGUCCAUCAUAAGGGCUAAAAUUAGACAACUAUGAAUUUUCACAGUAAUGAUAUAUAGCAAUUUUCUGUAUAAAUUCAACUAGAUUCAAGGAUGAUGAUAGGAUGGAAUAAAGUGGAAGGGCUUACCAUUACAUAGCCUUAGGUCUUCCCCUACCCUUUUUUACUACAAUAAAUUUUCUAUUUGAUUGGCUUUUCUCAUUAGCUAUUUUUUUAGUCUUCUCUUAUAUGACCAAUCCAUUUUCACAAACCUUUAACAUAUCAGACCCAAGAGAAGUGUCAAAUGUGAGGGAGUCCACAACCAACUUAAAACUUUGUUGAAUCUUCUAUGAUAUCUGACACUAAAGCUUUAUAAAUUAGACCUUAGUUGGAUCUAGUAUCUUAGUUCGUUGAGUUUUCUUAAACACCAAACGGUUAUCAGUAAUUGCUUCUCAAGUAAUUUUGAGCAUAAAAAGAAUUACUAAUUGCAUUCCAUAAAGCAAUAUGACAAAUAAUCGGUGUGCCAAUGUUCUGCAUCUAUGAUAAAUGCUAGAAGAAAACUACAAGAGGUUCCAUUUAUAUACCAUUUUCAUACCUUCCCAUCCAAAGAAAACAAAUUCAGGAGAUCCACCAAAUAAGUAGGCCAUGACAUUGGUAGGUAUAACAUAGGAGGAAGAAAGUCUGUCCAUAUUUAACCCAAAGGUCUGCACUCUAGUGAAAGGAGAAGACCGACCAUUCAAUAGAUCAGGAAACAUAGCUAGAACCUAGGAAGUUAGCAAGAGACACAAGAAUUUAGUUCAAAGCACAGUAAGUUAGCAACUAUUAAUCAAAGUACAAACUAAUGUAAUAAUGUGUUGUAUAUGUAAGGACUAAAAUUAUCAUAGAAAUUAUAAAAAAAAAAAAGCAUUUCAAUCACAAACAUUUGAGUUACUUUUGUAAAUGUUCUCAGUUUGAAUAAGGAAACAUUUUUUGCGGAUAAUUUUUUUAAUCCCAAAUAUAUUAUAGAAAAAAAAAAUUAUCUCAUACUUAAUCCCGGCAAAAGAGACAAGAAUUCCUCUUCGUAUAAUAAUCCAGAUAUAUCCAUACCACGAACUACCCCAUUAUUCUCUCAGUGUCUUCGUAUUUGCUAUAACUUUAUUUUUUUUCACCACUUUCGUUCCUGCAUGUUACGCCAAUUUCAUUCACCUUACCGCAAAUUUCACUUAAUGCUCCUUCGUAAAUAAAUCUCAUUCACAAGUUAUAAUUUAUGUUUAAAUGCGUUAACUGAG
rnacentral:lncRNA from 1 species